GACGAACGCUGGCGGCGUGCUUAACACAUGCAAGUCGAACGGAAAGGCCCUGCUUUUGUGGGGUGCUCGAGUGGCGAACGGGUGAGUAACACGUGAGUAACCUGCCCUUGACUUUGGGAUAACUUCAGGAAACUGGGGCUAAUACCGGAUAGGAGCUCCUGCUGCAUGGUGGGGGUUGGAAAGUUUCGGCGGUUGGGGAUGGACUCGCGGCUUAUCAGCUUGUUGGUGGGGUAGUGGCUUACCAAGGCUUUGACGGGUAGCCGGCCUGAGAGGGUGACCGGCCACCAUGGGACUGAGAUACGGCCCAGAAUCCUACGGUAGGCAGCAGUGGGGAAUAUUGCACAAUGGGCGGAAGCCUGAUGCAGCAACGCCGCGUGCGGGAUGACGGCCUUCGGGUUGUAAACCGCUUUCGACUGUGCCGAAGCGUGAGUGACGGUAAUGGGUAAAGAAGCACCGGCUAACUACGUG
rnacentral:rRNA from 1 species